GGAACGACGAGGCCUCGUGCAAGUAGCGCCGCAAGGUGCCGUGCACAUGGGGCUAGCUCAGUAUGUUCCGAAUGCCAUCGGUUGUUGGGGGCAAAAUCGGGAGGCGACAUCGCUCGUGGCAGCUGAUGGCUUUUGGCAACUGAACGGCGAGGCCUCGUGCAAGUAGCGCCGCAAGGUGCCGUGCGCAUGGGGCUAAGCCCAGUAUGUUCCGAUUGCCAUCGAUUGUUGCGGGCAACAUCGGGAGGCGACAUCGCUCGUGGCGGCUGAUGGCUUUUGGCAACUGAAUGGCGAGGCCUCGUGCAAGUAGCGCCGCAAGGUGCCGUGCGCAUGGGGCUAAACUCAGUACGUUCCGAUUGCCAUCGGUUGUUGGGGGCAAAAUCGGGAGGCGACAUCGCUCGUGGCAGCUGAUGGCUUUUGGCAACGGAACGGCGAGGCCUCGUGCAAGUAGCGUCGCAAGGUGCCGUGCGCAUGGGGCUAAACUCAGUACGUUCCGAUUGCCAUCGGUUGUUGUGAGUUGUGUCUGGCAUCGCUCGUGGCGGCUGAUGGCUUUUGGCAUCGGAACGACGAGGCCUCGUG
rnacentral:lncRNA from 1 species